UACGUAGGGGGCAAGCGUUGUCCGGAUUUAUUGGGCGUAAAGAGCGUGUAGGCGGCCAAACAGGUCAGCUGUGAAAACUCGAGGCUCAACCUCGAGACGUCGGUUGAAACCGUUUGGCUAGAGUCCGGAAGAGGAGAGUGGAAUUCCCGGUGUAGCGGUGAAAUGCGCAGAUAUCGGGAAGAACACCCGUGGCGAAGGCGGCGCACUGGACCGCAACUGACGCUGAGGCGCGAAAGCUAGGGGAGCAAACAGG
rnacentral:rRNA from 1 species